rnacentral:rRNA from 1 species
AAUAUUGGACAAUGGGCGAAAGCCUGAUCCAGCCAUGCCGCGUGUGUGAAGAAGGUCUUCGGAUUGUAAAGCACUUUAAGUUGGGAGGAAGGGGUUGAAGCUAAUACCUUCAAUCUUUGACGUUACCAACAGAAUAAACACCGGCUAACUCUGUGCCAGCAGCCGCGGUAAUACAGAGGGUGCAAGCGUUAAUCGGAAUUACUGGGCGUAAAGCGCGCGUAGGUGGUUUGUUAAGUUGGAAGUGAAAGCCCCGGGCUCAACCUGGGAACUGCUUUCAAAACUGGCAAGCUAGAGUAUGGCAGAGGGUGGUGGAAUUUCCUGUGUAGCGGUGAAAUGCGUAGAUAUAGGAAGGAACACCAGUGGCGAAGGCGACUUUCUGGACGUUAACUGACGCUGAGGCGCGAAAGCGUGGGGAGCAAACAGG